GUUGGAUUUGUGGCGUACGGUGUGUUCCGGGCACUUGUUGUCUGAGUAACCUGCCGUUGCCAUCCUUGGGUGGAACCUGUGUGGCAUUAGGUUGUCGUGCAGGGGAUGCCCAUCAUUUACUGUGAAAAAAUUAGAGUGUUCAAAGCAGGCUUAUGCCGUUGAAUAUAUUAGCAUGGAAUAAUGAGAUAGGACUUUUUUGCUAUUUUGUUGGUUUGCGCAAAGAGGUAAUGAUUAAUAGGGACAGUUGGGGGUAUUCGUAUUCCAUUGUCAGAGGUGAAAUUCUUGGAUUUUUGGAAGACGAACUACUGCGAAAGCAUUUACCAAGGAUGUUUUCAUUAAUCAAGAACGAAAGUUAGGGGAUCGAAGAUGAUUAUAUACCAUCGUAGUCUUAACC
rnacentral:rRNA from 1 species